GAUGAACGCUAGCGAUAGGCUUAACACAUGCAAGUCGAGGGGCAGCAUGGUCUUAGCUUGCUAAGACUGAUGGCGACCGGCGCACGGGUGCGUAACGCGUAUGCAACUUGCCUCACAGAGGGGGAUAACCCGUCGAAAGACGGACUAAUACCGCGUACACUUGGGAUAGGGCAUCCUGACCCAAGGAAACGAAAUUCGCUGUGAGAUAGGCAUGCGUCCCAUUAGCUAGUUGGUGAGAUAACGGCUCACCAAGGCGACGAUGGGUAGGGGAACUGAGAGGUUGAACCCCCACACUGGUACUGAGACACGGACCAGACUCCUACGGGAGGCAGCAGUGAGGAAUAUUGGUCAAUGGGCGAGAGCCUGAACCAGCCAAGUCGCGUGAAGGAUGACUGCCUUAUGGAUUGUAAACUUCUUUUAUACGGGAAUAACAAGAGCCACGUGUGGCUCCCUGCAUGUACCGGAUGAAUAAGCAUCGGCUAACUCCGUG
rnacentral:rRNA from 1 species